AGCCACACAGUGAGCACAAAGUGAACUAUUCUUUCACCUUUUACUAAAGAGUAUUGUGUCUGCACUAUAUUUCGUGACAUACACUUAUUUUUAAGGGGAUCUCUUUGUGAGUCCCC